rnacentral:ncRNA from 1 species
GUAUAGGGGGGCUGGGUUUUCCCGGCUGAGACGGAGAGAAUCGAAUCUCCGCCACCCUUGAACCUGAUCCGGGUAAUGCCGGCGUAGGAAACGAAAA